rnacentral:rRNA from 1 species
GACGAACGCUGGCGGCGUGCUUAACACAUGCAAGUCGAACGGAAAGGCCCUGCUUUUGUGGGGUGCUCGAGUGGCGAACGGGUGAGUAACACGUGAGUAACCUGCCCUUGACUUUGGGAUAACUUCAGGAAACUGGGGCUAAUACCGGAUAGGAGCUCCUGCUGCAUGGUGGGGGUUGGAAAGUUUCGGCGGGUGGGGAUGGACUCGCGGCUUAUCAGCUUGUGGGUGGGGUAGUGGCUUACCAAGGCUUUGACGGGUAGCCGGCCUGAGAGGGUGACCGGCCACAUUGGGACUGAGAUACGGCCCAGACUUCUACGGGAGGGAGCAGUGGGGAAUAGUGCACAAUGGGCGGAAGCCUGAUGCAGCAACGCCGCGUGCGGGAUGACGGCCUUCGGGUUGUAAACCGCUUUCGCCUGUGACGAAGCGUGAGUGACGGUAAUGGGUAAAGAAGCACCGGCUAACUACGUG